rnacentral:rRNA from 1 species
UAAAAUGGGAGGUAAAUUUCUCCUAAGGCUAAAUAACGGCGAGAGACCGAUAGCGAACAAGUACCGUGAGGGAAAGAUGAAAAGAACUUUGAAAAGAGAGUUAAACAGUACGUGAAAUUGUUGAAAGGGAAACGAUUGAAGCCAGUCGUACCUUCGGGUAAUCAGGCCUUUCGGGUGCGAUCCUGUGGAGUGUGAGGAGCUUAACACCUUCAUGCUUUGCAUAUUUGUGCUCUUGGGUGUACUUGCCCGUGUGGUUGGUUAACAUCAAUUUUGAUUAUCAUAAAAUGACUGGAGGAAUGUAGCUUCGAUCUCGUAUUGAAGUGUUAUAGCCUUUGGUAGAUGUGAUGAUUGAGAUUGAGGAUUGCAACGGAUACCCUUCGGGGCUACCUGUCUGGUCUCUGAUCGUUGCUCUGGUGCCGAAAGCGUGCUUACGGUUAUCAAAGUCGAUGGUCAAUAGGUUAGAACGGGUUAA